rnacentral:rRNA from 1 species
UACGUAGGUGGCAAGCGUUGUCCGGAUUUAUUGGGUUUAAAGGGUGCGUAGGCGGUCUAUUAAGUCAGUGCUGAAAUAUCCCGGCUUAACCGGGAGGGUGGCAUUGAUACUGAUGGACUUGAGUGCAGUCGAGGUAGGCGGAAUUGACGGUGUAGCGGUGAAAUGCUUAGAUAUCGUCAAGAACACCGAUAGUAAAGACAGCUUACUAGACUGUAACUGACGCUGAGGCACGAAAGUGUGGGGAUCAAACAGG